GUGCACCAGGCGCGAAAACUUCACACUGUGCGAAAGCACGAUGAGGGAAUCCCAAGUGCUUGCACGUAAGUGUAAGCUGUUUCUCUGUUUAAAACGCAGAGAGAGUAAGGGCUGGGUAAGACGGGUGCCAGCCGCCGCGGUAAUACCUGCAGCUCAAGUGGUGACCGUUAUUAUUGGGCCUAAAACGUCCGUAGCCGGUUUAAUAAAUGCCUGGGUAAAUCGUGUAGCUUAACUAUACGAAUUCCGGGUAGACUGUUAAACUCGAGACCGGGAGAAGUUAGAGGUACUCCUGGGGUAGAGGUGAAAUUCUGUAAUCCUAGGAGGACCACCAGUGGCGAAGGCGUCUAACUAGAACGGGUCUGACGGUGAGGGACGAAGCCCUGGGGCGCAAACGGGAUUAGAUACCCCUGUAGU
rnacentral:rRNA from 1 species